GGAAGGGGGCCGAGACGCGUCCUCGGGGGUGCGGGCGAGCUCUGCUGCCUCGGCUUCUGCAUCGUGCUGCGGUGCAAAAAUACAAAACCUGCCGCAGCAGCGGUACCGCCGGGAAGACAUCCUCCGGGACUACGGCAGUGGCGCCUCUCCACUCCCAGCUGACCCCUGGCUGCUGUCACCGCGCGGCGACGGAGAGGAGAGGGGGCGUUGCCCAAGUCAGGAAGCUCCUCGGCUCUCCAUCUCUUGCGCAUUUUGGUCAAAAAAUCAACUCUCACAGAAAGCCUUCACAUCCCAGAGUUUUGCCACCACACCCCCAAAUUCAGCUGCACUGACCGAAUAUUAAACGGUUUAUGCUCAGCUGGUGAAGAAGAUGUCGGGGGCGUUUGAGCAACACGCGUGCUGAUGUUCCUCCCUCUUGUUCGGAGCCAGCACUCCCUCUCCUUGGAAAGAAGCAUCCGGAUAGCCUAUGAAUAAGUAGUUAUUCUUGCCGAAACUGCAGAUGAGCUGCAGGCUGUGGUCUCCGGGCAGCUCUGCAGCCACCUGAACUUGGUGCUUGUGAGUUUCUAACCAGUUACCUCUGUCCUAAUAACACCUUUCGUGAUUUCAUACGUGUAUCCUGGUCAUUGCAACAUCCCCUAAUAAAAGAGAAAGCUUGU